rnacentral:rRNA from 1 species
UACGGAGGGGGCUAGCGUUGUUCGGAAUUACUGGGCGUAAAGCGCACGCAGGCGGUCUUUUAAGUUUGACGUGAAAGCUCCCGGCUUAACUGGGAGAGGUCGUUGAAGACUGGAAGACUUGAGGCAAUGAGAGGGGUGUAGAAUUCCCGGUGUAGUGGUGGAAUGCGUAGAUACCGGGGGGAAUACCAGUGGCGAAAGCGGCACCCUAGCGUUAGCCUGACGCUCAUGUGCGAAAGCGUGGGGAGCGAACGGG